CACACUCUCUUAUUACACUCUAGCUUCUCUAGACCUAUCUCAACUCUUUUUGCCCUUACACUCAUCAUCAAGCAUCCACACAUUCAAAUCAACCAACUCUCACAUUCAUUAAGCACAAAACAUCAGGUGAAUUCUUGUAAAUGGUCAGUUGGUCCAAGUCAUUUGGUUGAGUGAGGGAAGGCUUUUAUUCAAGUGAUUCAAGAGGUUCGAAACAUAAAAUCUUUAAGGUGGUUUACUCUCGAAACAAGUAGCCUUGACAUUGCACAUAAUAUAUCUAAGAAAUGGAUCAACUCAUGCAUACAAUGCUCAAUAUCCAUUGUUCUACCAUUUUCCCAAACAUACAAUUACACAAUCAUUCCCAAAUGCAAACCCAACUCACAUCUCUCACCAAAAGAUCCUAAGAACAUUAACUCCUUCUCUUUGAAAUCUACAAGAGAUUUUUCACAACCUCAAAACAUUAUUUAUCUCCUAACAACUUUGCUAGCCCCCUUUUUCUUUCUUUUUCUUUUCUUUUCAUAUUUUUUUUUUUUAAAUGGGGGCCAAGACUUUUCAUAACUUGAGCUAUAGGUUUUUCUACUUAUCCCAGUAAGACAAUUCACUUAAACACAAAGAGUUAUUUCUUUUCCUUUUUCAUUGCUCCCAAAUCAUAAUCACAACUCUCACCCCCACCUAUAGCUAGACAAUAGAGUGCCCAAUCUA
rnacentral:lncRNA from 1 species